rnacentral:rRNA from 1 species
GACGAACGCUGGCGGCGUGCUUAACACAUGCAAGUCGAACGGAAAGGCCCUGCUUUUGUGGGGUGCUCGAGUGGCGAACGGGUGAGUAACACGUGAGUAACCUGCCCUUGACUUUGGGAUAACUUCAGGAAACUGGGGCUAAUACCGGAUAGGAGCUCCUGCUGCAUGGUGGGGGUUGGAAAGUUUCGGCGGUUGGGGAUGGACUCGCGGCUUAUCAGCUUGUUGGUGGGGUAGUGGCUUACCAAGGCUUUGACGGGUAGCCGGCCUGAGAGGGUGACCGGCCACAUUGGGACUGAGAUACGGCCCAGACUCCUACGGGAGGCAGAAGUGGGGAAUAUUGCACAAUGGGCGGAAGCCUGAUGCAGCAACGCCGCGUGCGGGAUGACGGCCUUCGGGUUGUAAACCGCUUUCGCCUGUGACGAAGCGUGAGUGACGGUAAUGGGUAAAGAAGCACCAGCUAACUACGUG